GAUGAACGCUGGCGGCGUGCCUAAUACAUGCAAGUCGAGCGAACGGACGAGAAGCUUGCUUCUCUGAUGUUAGCGGCGGACGGGUGAGUAACACGUGGAUAACCUACCUAUGAGACUGGGAUAACUUCGGGAAACCGGAGCUAAUACCGGAUAAUAUUUUGAACCGCAUGGUUCAAAAGUGAAAGACGGUCUUGCUGUCACUUAUAGAUGGAUCCGCGCUGCAUUAGCUAGUUGGUAAGGUAACGGCUUACCAAGGCAACGAUGCAUAGCCGACCUGAGAGGGUGAUCGGCCACACUGGAACUGAGAAACGGUCCAGACUCCUACGGGAGGCAGCAGUAGGGAAUCUUCCGCAAUGGGCGAAAGCCUGACGGAGCAACGCCGCGUGAGUGAUGAAGGUCUUCGGAUCGUAAAACUCUGUUAUUAGGGAAGAACAUAUGUGUAAGUAACUGUGCACAUCUUGACGGUACCUAAUCAGAAAGCCACGGCUAACUACGUG
rnacentral:rRNA from 1 species